rnacentral:rRNA from 1 species
GUAGCGUAAUCAAUUGUUUUUUAAUUGAAAACUGGAAUGAAAGGUUAAACAAAUUACCUUAGUUUGUGUGGUUUGGUUAGUAAAUUAAAGUCAAGGUAAGAAUUCUUUGAUCUUCUAGGGGACGAUAAGACCCUAGAAGCUUUAAAAAAGAAAAAUUUUUAGUAGUUGUAUAGCUUUUUUACUGGGGCGGUAUUAGUGUUUUAACUACUAAAAAUAGAGGUCGGUCCUUUAUAUAAAGAUAAUUCGGUGAAGUUACUCUAGGGAUAACAGUGCGGUAUUCUUGGAAAGGUCUUAUUAAUAAGAAUGUUCGCAACCUCGAUGUUGAAUUAAGAUGUCUACGUGGAGCAGUAAAUACAGUAGAGGGUUUGUUCAACCCUCAUAGUCU